CAGCAGCCGCGGUAAUACGUAGGGGGCGAGCGUUGUUCNGAAUUACUGGGCGUAAAGCGUGCGUAGGUGGUGCGUUAAGUCUGUCGUGAAAGCCCCGGGCUCAACCUGGGAAUGGCGAUGGAUACUGGCGCGCUAGAGUGCGGUAGAGGAGAGUGGAAUUCCCGGUGUAGCAGUGAAAUGCGUAGAGAUCGGGAGGAACAUCAGUUGCGAAGGCGGCUCUCUGGACCAGCACUGACACUGAGGCACGAAAGCGUGGGGAGCAAACAGGAUUAGAUACCCUGGUAGUCCACGCCCUAAACGAUGCGAACUGGACGUUGGGAGCAACUAGGCUCUCAGUGUCGAAGCUAACGCGUUAAGUUCNCCGCCUGGGGAGUACGGUCGCAAGACUGAAACUCAAAGGAAUUGNCGG
rnacentral:rRNA from 1 species